rnacentral:lncRNA from 1 species
AAAAUGAACUAACACCAAAUCACAUCAACUAAUGGUUCUCUCUACCAUUGUUGACUUCAUUUUCUUCAAGUGACAUAGUGAAAUCUUCAUCAAAAUCUAAAAAUUACAAAUAUAAAACUGAAAAGAGAAAACCUAAGUUUUUUUUGCCAACAUCUAACUUCUUAAUUGGAAACUUAGAAUAUAAAACAUAAUCUAAAAACUAAAAAAAUGAUGUAAAAGUUAUUUAUUGGUUUAACCGGUAUCGGGUUCCGAGUUUUAGUGGGUUUUGCGGGUUUUUGUGGGUUUUUAAAUAUUGGGUUUUUCACAAAAUCCAAACCGGAUUUUUUCUGGGUCACCGGGUUUACCGGUUCAACCGCGAGUCUUGGUCGGGUUUCAAAACACUGCUUUUAGGUGAUAGAAACUGUACUCGAACA